UACGUAGGGGGCGAGCGUUGUCCGGAAUCAUUGGGCGUAAAGCGCGUGUAGGCGGCCCGGUAAGUCCGCUGUGAAAGUCCAGGGCUCAACCCUGGGAUGCCGGUGGAUACUGUCGGGCUCGUGUCCGGAAGAGGCGAGUGGAAUUCCUGGUGUAGCGGUGAAAUGCGCAGAUAUCAGGAGGAACACCAAUGGCGAAGGCAGCUCGCUGGGACGUGACUGACGCUGAGACGCGAAAGCGUGGGGAGCAAACAGG
rnacentral:rRNA from 1 species